UACAGAGGUCUCAAGCGUUGUUCGGAUUCAUUGGGCGUAAAGGGUGCGUAGGUGGCGCCAUAAGUCGGGUGUGAAAAUCUCGGGGCUUAGCUCCGAAACUGCAUUCGAUACUGCCGUGCUUUGAGGACUGGAGAGGAGACUGGAAUUUACGGUGUAGCGGUGAAAUGCGUAGAUAUCGUAAGGAAGACCAGUGGCGAAAGGCGGGGUCUCUGGACAGUUUCCUGACGCUGAGGCACGAAGGUCAGGGGGGAGCAAAACGGG
rnacentral:rRNA from 1 species